rnacentral:rRNA from 1 species
CUAUGCGCCUUGCCAGCCCGCUCAGUCAGAGUUUGAUCCUGGCUCAGAGCGAACGCUAGCGGCACGCUUAACACAUGCAAGUCGAACGAAAAUGUUUACUUCGGUGAACGUUUUAGUGGCGAACGGGUGAGUAAUACAUAGAAAUCUGCCCUUUUGAGAGGGAUAUCCAUGAGAAAUUGUGAUUAAUACCUCAUAAGCUCGAAAGAGGAAAGGCCGCAAGGCCGCUGAAGGAGGAGUCUAUGUCGGAUUAGAUAGUUGGUGGGGUAAUGGCCUACCAAGUCGAUGAUCCGUAGCUGGUUUGAGAGGAUGAUCAGCCACACUGGGACUGAGAUACGGCCCAG